GACGAACGCUGGCGGCGUGCCUAAUACAUGGAAGUAGAACGCAGUAGCGAACGGGUGAGUAACGCGUAGGUAACUGCCUCAUAGAGGGGGAUAACUAUUGGAAACGAUAGCUAAUACCGCAUACUGUGAGAUGGACCUUCGUUUUAUUAGCUAGUUGGGGAGGUAAAGUCUCACUAAGGAGACGAUACAUAGCCGAACUGAGAGGGUGAGCGGCCCAACCUGGACUGAGAAACGGCCCAGACUCGUACGGGAGCAAGCAGUAGGUAGUCUACGUCAAUGGACGGAAGCCUGACCGAGCAACGCCGCGUGAGUAAAGAAGGUUUUCGGAUCGUAAAGCUCUUUUGUUAGAGAAGCGGUAACGAACCAGAAAGGGACGGCUAACUACGUGCCAGCAGCCGCGGUAAUUC
rnacentral:rRNA from 1 species